GGGUACCUACGGGAGGCAGCAGUGGGGGAUAUUGCACAAUGGGGGAAACCCUGAUGCAGCGACGCCGCGUGGGUGAAGAAGCGCCUCGGCGCGUAAAGCCCUGUCAGCAGGGAAGAAAAUGACGGUACCUGAAGAAGAAGCCCCGGCUAACUACGUGCCAGCAGCCGCGGUAAUACGUAGGGGGCAAGCGUUAUCCGGAUUUACUGGGUGUAAAGGGGGCGCAGACGGCGAUACAAGCCAGGAGUGAAAGCCCGGGGCCCAACCCCGGGACUGCUCUUGGGACUGCGUGGCUAGAGUGCAGGAGG
rnacentral:rRNA from 1 species